GUUUGAGAGUGAUAAGGCAAGAACCUAUUGUGUUUUGAUAGAAAGUUUCAAAACAGUUUUGUUCAUCUAUGUACGCUCUUUAAUCCAAGAUCAAAGAUGCAAGACACGAGAAAUGUGCGAUGCACUUUUAAUUAAAAAUUAAUAAAAAAAGUUUUAAGGAUUAGAGCAUAAGAGAGAUAAAAUACAUGGAUUAGAGAAGCACUAUUUAUGGUUUUUUUUUCCUCCCAAUUUUGAAAAGAGUUCAAGAGGUUGGCAACGUGGAUAGCAAUUGAUAAAAAUUUUUUGGGAAAAAUAGAGUCCUAUAAAAUUGUUUAGAUAAGAGAAAAAGAACGAGCAAUUAAUAAAAUUACUGUGAUUACAUAACUAACUUCUUAGUCAUUUUUUUCUAUAGAUAUUCAUAAAGAGAGGAGCUAAAAGUAUUUUAUCUCAAAAUUUAAAAUAUUUUAAGUUUUUUUUUCUGAUUUUAAUUGAAAAUUUUCAACUAUUAAAUCUUUUAUAGUUCAACAUGUCCUUCAAAAAUGCUGGCUCCACAUUAGAAGUAAUACUACACAAUGCAAUUAUAGUAGCUUCUCCGACUAGCGGACCCUCGGUAGCCCCACAAGCCUUUUAUAGAACACGCACGUGUGUGCAGUUGACUCCGUCUGCCACCCCGUGCAUGUCAUAUGGAUGAUGGCUGGCUUGUUCGUGUGUAUAAGUGAUCCUUUUAGCUUUAGGAUGUUAAAGGAAGGGGCCAAGCCUUUGAAGCACAUCACUCCAGACCUAUCUUAAGGAGGAUCUCUGAUCACAUGCCGCAGGUACUAGAUCGUGUUUUGUAUUGUGAUUGCUCUGAACAUAUUUACGGUCGAGCAUAAUGAGACACGUACUGUAAUAACCCCAAAUUUUUUUUUUAUAAAAAGGGAUAGAAUAGUCCUUUAAAAUUGAUAUAAGGGGUAAAAUUGGAAGGAAUCAAAAGAUAAUGGCAUAGUUGUAGAUGUGUUGAAGUGGUAAGGGUAAAAUUGGAAAGAAAUCAAAAGUUAAUGGCAUAACAGUAGAUAUGUUGAAGUGUUAGGGGCAAAAU
rnacentral:lncRNA from 1 species